GCACAAGCGGUGGAGCAUGUGGUUAAUUCGAAGCAACGCGAAGAACCUUACCAGGUCUUGACAUCCCGAUGCUAUUUCUAGAGAUAGAAAGUUACUUCGGUACAUCGGUGACAGGUGGUGCAUGGUUGUCGUCAGCUCGUGUCGUGAGAUGUUGGGUUAAGUCCCGCAACGAGCGCAACCCCUAUUGUUAGUUGCCAUCAUUCAGUUGGGCACUCUAGCGAGACUGCCGGUAAUAAACCGGAGGAAGGUGGGGAUGACGUCAAAUCAUCAUGCCCCUUAUGACCUGGGCUACACACGUGCUACAAUGGUUGGUACAACGAGUUGCGAGUCGGUGACGGCGAGCUAAUCUCUUAAAGCCAAUCUCAGUUCGGAUUGUAGGCUGCAACUCGCCUACAUGAAGUCGGAAUCGCUAGUAAUCGCGGAUCAGCACGCCCGCGGUCGAAUACGUUCCGGGCCUU
rnacentral:rRNA from 1 species